GUGACCUAUUUGGGUUCUCCAGUUCAAAAAACACACUGGGAUACUGGGGUGGGUCAGCCCGGAUGGUUGGGAGAGCUGGACCAUGAGGAUUUAGGAGGAGAAGGUGGGAGAAGAAGGUGUGUUCAGACUCAAGAGUGGAACCUAGAAGAUACAAAGCUAAGAAGGGUGACCACAGGAAAAAAAAGCAGGACAGAUUUUUCCUUACUGGACAAAUUCUUCAGAGGUUUUUGACAGACAGAACACGACACCAGAGGUGAUUGUUGACAGAACAGGAUGCAAGAGGUCAGAAAUUCUGGAACAGAAACAGCUCUGGGAAGGCACAGCCAGGAAAGUAAAGCAAGGCAACACAGCAGCAAUCAGUGAGGUGAUCUCUGAAAGCAAACAGGAGCUCCUGGGAUUCUUUCAAUUAGGUGGUUCGAGGAAAAUCUUUGGGCAGAGGCAACAAAAGUUGUCUUUUGCAACUUGAAUAAAUUCACUCUGCUCCUCACAGGAGGGUGGAGAAUGGGAGUCCAGGCAGUUGCUUCCCAGCUGGAGUGCAGAGGAGAGUCCUGGAUGCCCAAGGAAGUGCUCCACACACUUGAAGGACAAACUGGAUCCAUGACAACUUUCCAGGCUGUUCCAAAGGACACGGAAAGGGUCAAGCCCCAGGGCCUGGAUUUCUCCCACCACUCAUUUUCCAAACCAGUGGCAAGUCCUCGAGAUCCUUGUGCCUCCCAGGCAAAGAGGGGAGUCCGGCAAACCGAGGUGCACAAAAAGAGCAGGAAAAGCAGUUUGUCUUGAAGGACAAGGAAAUCAGACCAGGUGAAUCAUCCCAUCUUUAUUUUGUUAAUUAAAACAACCCAGCAGCACUUUAUGCAGCCUCAGGUGGCACCUCCCAUUAGGUACUAGCACCAAAGGACCUUUCCUGCUGAGGGGAAGAGAAAUUAAGAGUCCAGAGCUGAUGUCAGUGAUGAAUUUCAAGCUUCAAGUGAAAAGAUGAAGUCUUCCUUUCAACUAAAGACAUCACUUUGUGGAAGGAAAGAAUGUGAAAACGAAACCACGAAGGCUGUUCCUGUGCCAUGGUCAGGACUGGUGACUCCAGCAGUGCCCUGGGCAGCCUGUUCUGAUGUUCAACCACUCUUUCAGUAAAUAUUUGCUUCCUAAAAUCCAACCUGAACCUCCACUGGCACAACUUGAGGCCCUUUUCCCACGUCCUACCAUUAAUUUCACGGCAGAAGAGGCCGAGCCUUUUCUUUAAUUAAAAUAUCUCUUUGCAA